rnacentral:rRNA from 1 species
AGUCGAGCGAUAGUUAGGGGCAACUCUAAUGAAAGCGGCGGACUGGUGAGAAACGCGUGGGUGACCUACCUUUAGGCUGGGGAUAGCCGUUAGAAAUAGCGGGUAAUACCGAAUAAGUUUCUGCCGCUGUGGCGGCGGAAGGAAAGGAGCUACGGCUCCGCCUGGAGAUGGGCCCGCGUCCCAUUAGCUGGUUGGGGGUGUAAAGGACCACCAAGGCGAAGAUGGGUAGCCGGCCUGAGAGGGUGAACGGCCACACUGGGACUGAGAUACGGCCCAGACUCCUACGGGAGGCAGCAGCUAAGAAUAUUCCACAAUGGACGGAAGUCUGAUGGAGCGACGCCGCGUGGAUGAGGAAGGCCGAAAGGUUGUAAAAUUCUUUUGCGGACGAAGAAUAAUCGGGGUAGGGAAUGACCCUGAGAUGACGUUAGUCUGUGAAUAAGCCCCGGCUAAUUACGUGCCAGCAGCCGCGGUAACACGUAAGGGGCGAGCGUUGUUCGGAAUUAUUGGGCGUAAAGGGCGCGUAGGCGGCCUAGUAAGUCUGAUGUGAAAACCCCGGGCUCAACCCGGGAACUGCAUUGGAAACUGCGAGGCUUGAGUCACGGAGGGGGAAUCGGAAUUCCUGGUGUAGGGGUGAAAUCUGUAGAUAUCAGGAAGAACACCGGUGGCGAAGGCGGAUUUCCAGCCGAUGACUGACGCUGAGGCGCGAAAGUGCGGGGAGCAAACAGGAUUAGAUACCCUGGUAGUCCGCACUAUAAACGAUGCACACUAGGUGUCGGGGCGAGCGUCUCGGUGCCGGAGCGAACGCGAUAAGUGUGCCGCCUGGGGAGUAUGCCCGCAAGGGUGAAACUCAAAGGAAUUGACGGAAUCACUAGU